rnacentral:rRNA from 1 species
UACGGGGGGGGCAAGCGUUGUUCGGAAUUACUGGGCGUAAAGCGUGCGCAGGCGGAAGUUAAGUCUGAUGUGAAAGCCCCGGGCUCAACCUGGGAAUGGCGAUGGAAACUGGCGGGCUGGAGUAUGGCAGAGGGGGGUGGAAUUCCGCGUGUAGCAGUGAAAUGCGUAGAGAUGCGGAGGAACACCGAUGGCGAAGGCAGCCCCCUGGGCCAAUACUGACGCUCAGGCACGAAAGCGUGGGGAGCAAACAGG